rnacentral:rRNA from 1 species
GCGUUUGAAGAUGGGCGUGCGCCUGAUUAGGUAGUUGGUAAGGUAACGGCUUACCAAGCCUGCGAUCAGUAACUGGUGUGAGAGCACGACCAGUCACACGGGCACUGAGACACGGGCCCG